rnacentral:rRNA from 1 species
UACGGAGGGGGCUAGCGUUGUUCGGAUUUACUGGGCGUAAAGGGCGCGUAGGCGGCCUCCGCAAGUCAGUUGUGAAAUCUCCGAGCUUAACUCGGAAAGGUCAACUGAUACUGCGGGGCUAGAGUGCGGGAAGGGGCAACUGGAAUUCUUGGUGUAGCGGUGAAAUGCGUAGAUAUCAAGAGGAACACCUGCGGCGAAGGCGGGUUGCUGGGCCGACACUGACGCUGAGGCGCGAAAGCUAGGGGGAGCGAACGGG